GCCAAGAACAAUAUGAUUGAGCAAAAUACUGAAAUCCCCACGCGAAUCCGGGUGCUUUGAUUGCUCAUUCAAUACAUACCUCGUUAUGGUCAUCAAAUCAGUCCGGUGGGCAUCUGCUGCGUAAUCCAUCUCUCCCUGUCCCUCGGUGUGUGUCUCUCUCUUUCACCCCACAAAACAACUAUACAAGAAUACCAUCAAAAAUUUAAGCUUUACGAAAUGUGAUUAUCAGAGCAUAAACAUGAGCUAUAAAGGUUCGCAGAGGUAAGCAAAUUGCUGAGUUCGAGGAGUGAGUGCUG
rnacentral:misc_RNA from 1 species